rnacentral:tRNA from 1 species
GUCCCCGUAGUUUAGCAUGGAUAUGACGCAAGCUUGCGGAGCUUGAAACCCGAGUUCAAAUCUCGGCGGGGACA